AUUGAACGCUGGCGGCAGGCCUAACACAUGCAAGUCGAACGAGUGGCGGACGGGUGAGUAAUGUCUGGGAAACUGCCCGAUGGAGGGGGAUAACUACUGGAAACGGUAGCUAAUACCGCAUACCAUCGGAUGUGCCCAGAUGGGAUUAGCUAGUAGGUGGGGUAACGGCUCACCUAGGCGACGAUCCCUAGCUGGUCUGAGAGGAUGACCAGCCACAUGGGAACUGAGCAAGGGUCCAGACUCCAAAGGGAGGCAGCAGUGGGGAAUAUGGCACAAGGGGCGCAAGCCUGAUGCAGCCAUGCCGCGUGUAUGAAGAAGGCCUUGGGGUUGUAAAGUACUUUCAGCGGGGAGGCGUUACUCGCAGAAGAAGCCCCGGCUAACUCCGUGCCAGCAGCCGCGGUAAUUC
rnacentral:rRNA from 1 species